ensembl:lncRNA
GAUUAGCUCUGGUCGUUUAUAAGACUGUCACUGAAAUCACCCUGUGAUUGCAAAAGACACCAGCUGCAGAGUACCUCCAGCUCAUCUCUCCUUUCUCUGAGACCAUCGUCUCUUCACCGCACAGCCAUAUUUAAACCUCAAGAUCCCACCCCUGCAUGUAGCUGAAUGGACCAGGAGUGGUCACUUGACUAAGCUUAGCCAGUCAUAUUCUCCCCCAACUGUCAAGCAUUUGGAACCAGCAUUUGCAGAUGCUAUAUCUAGCAAAGCUCUGGGGCCUGGUGUGCUGCAGUCCAUGAGGUCACAAAGAGUCAGAUAUGACUUAGCAAGUGACCACCACCACCAACAACAACACUAAGUUGGCAUCAGCACCAAGGAGCAUAUGCCCGGUUUGAAAAGAACAUGAUGAGCUGAAUUGAGAAGUGGCUUAAGUUGGGAGGGAGCCAUGAUCUGGGUCAGAAGAAGUGUUUGCAGAAACUGAGGGUAAUUGCCACAAAGGGGAGGGGGCUGAGAGUCAAGGAUGACAGCUGCCUUCAGAUGUCAGAAAGAGAACCUGAAAC